CAGUCGCCACGGUAAUACGGGGGGUGCAAGCGUUAUUCGGAUUGAUUGGGUGUAAAGGGUGUGCAGACGGCUUAUUAAGUCACUUGUUAAAUUCUUCGGCCUAACUGAAGGUCUGCAAGUGAUACUGAUGAGCUAGAGGGUGGAAGAGAGAAGUGGAAUUCUCGGAGUAGCGGUAAAAUGCGUAGAUCUCGAGAGGAACACCAAUGGCGAAGGCAGCUUCUUGGUCCAUUCCUGACGUUCAUACACGAAAGCGUGGGGAGCAAACAGGAUUAGAUACCCCCGUAGUCCCUGUCUCUUAUAC
rnacentral:rRNA from 1 species